GACGACGCUGGCGGCAGGCCUAAAACAUGCAAGUCGAACGAGUGGCGGACGGGUGAGUAAUGUCUGGGAAACUGCCUGAUGGAGGGGGAUAACUACUGGAAACGGUAGCUAAUACCGCAUUCCAUCAGAUGUGCCAAGAUGGGUUUAGCUUGUUGGUGGGGUAACGGCUCACCAAGGCGACGAUCCCUAGCUGGUCUGAGAGGAUGACCAGUCACACUGGAACUGAGACACGGUCCAGACUCCUACGGGAGGAAGCAGUGGGGAAUAUUGGACAAUGGGCGAAAGCCUGAUCCAGCCAUGCCGAGUGUGUGAAGAAGGUCUUCGGAUUGUAAAGCACUUUAAGUUGGGAGGCGUUACCAACAGAAUAAGCACCGGCUAACGUCGUGCCAGCAGCCGCGGUAAUUC
rnacentral:rRNA from 1 species